rnacentral:lncRNA from 1 species
CUUAACACAGGUUUAGAGAAACAUCUGUUUCUCUUGCUCCUGACAAAAUUAGACUGGCCUCCAGUUUAGACCCUCAUCUCCUAGACAGCAAGGUUUGUGAGUAUAUCCUUUAUACCCCAGGCAGAGUGGAGGCCUCAGUCAGCAAGCCUCCUGUGGCUGACCACCAAUGUCAAAUCCAUUUGGCUCACCAUCCUCCUUGUAGCCAAGACUAGAGAAUCAACUAAAAGCAUUGUUUUGGGACAAAUAAAAAUGAAGCCACAACUUCCUUUCCCAGGAAACAGUCUCUAUGCCCACUUAGCCCAUGCUUCUGGGCUUUGAUCACCAUGGGAGGAUCACAGGACUUCAAGAAUUUCUGUAGACACCAACCCUUGUAGUUGGGUUCCUUGGAACAAAUUCCUGAGCCUCCAGGUCAGCCUCUUAAAGAUGGCUUAGCCGCUGGAUAAGGCAAGUGAAGAAUGGUAAGAAAGGAAGCACCACCAGUAGAAAAAGAAGUGGCAGAGGCCUGGAGCCACAGUCGUCACUUCUGGCCCCACAACCUUGCCUCAAGGCAGCUUUGUCUUAGAAUGGGACAUGAGACUGGCACUUGGUAACAGGCUGGUGACUGGCUUGGUCCAGUGGCCUGCUUUUGUUCUUUGAGGUCCUUCUGCCUCCCUCCACUGCCUGCCUUCCAAUUCCUCAAGAGGUUAGCAAAGUCAUUUGGGUUGGAGGGGACACAGGCAAGAGAUAUGACAUCCAAACAAACAAACAAACAAACAAACAAACAGGGUCUCAUGUAGCCCAGGCUAGUCUUGAAUGCAUAUAUAGCUAGGUCGAUAUUGAACUUCCAUUCUUCCUGCUUUUCCCUCCUGAUUGCCGGGGUUACAAGUGUGAGUCACCGUGUCUAAUUUAUUAAUACUGUCCUGGUCAUUGAACCUAGAGUCUUCUGCAUGCCAGGCAAGCACGCUACCAACCUGAGCUACAUCCUCAGCCCCAAAGAAUGUUCAUGUAUGUUUUUUGUGCACACAGAAGAACCAUUUCACAGAGAAAGGCUAUCAUCAGUCCUUUCUGCCUAUCCAGCUAGACACCAGUUUCUUCCAGGAAAAAGAAACAAAGAUAAAACAUGUAAAUUGAUCAGUCACAGAUGGACCUUGCUGAUCAACAUCACCUGCUUCUGGAGAAAGAUCCUUGUUUUAUUUGACUUUCAGGAAUGGGCAGAAAAGGCCACUGGAAAAAGAUUUGGUCUUUCUGCAUAUGGACAAAGGAUUCAUGGUUUUCUGAGGAGAGGACUAACAGAGAAGACUCCUGGCCUACUCUGGAUGGAUGUCCAGGAAUGGGCUGGGAAGAGGUUAGGGGUUGGUUCCUGUUGUGGCCCGGCAUGUCUCAGCCCCAAGCCACGGUAGCCAGGAGGUUCAGCCUGAGUGGGGGAGCAUGGACUUGGAAACUCUUAGCAACCUAAUGGCGAUAAAGACCAAACACAGGCAUCUUGUCAUCUUUAGAGAGCUCUCAGUUCCAUGCUGCAAAACUGGAGUCUGACAGCCUUCCACAACGAGACACUCAACUUUUACUGAGACACCUCCCUGAGAGGCCUUGAAGUAGACCACGCCCUCUUUGACUCUCAGUCACCCAGGGGAAGAUGGGAGCCACUUGGCAUUCAUCCAGACCCAGGAGUGAAUGGAGGAAACAUCUGGAGACCCUUCCUGUGUCCCUUGGAGAGACUGUGUAACAGUUGGCUCUAUUUGGGGCAUUUCAAGAUGUGUGGUGCAAGAGACACACCUCAGACUUCCAGAGGCAGAAGGCAAAGGUCAAGAGUCAGUAUUCUCUCUGAGGAGAUGCCAAUGGAUUCCAGUUCUGCCUGGUUUGUGACUAGAAGUGACCUUCGCUGCCUGGUACUGAAGGACACCAGGAGCCCAGCCUCCUGAAGCAGCAAGACCUUUUGCUCAUGGAAAGGCUGAGUUGCGGGAUGCUAUAAACUGAAGUCGCAGAAUAAGUAACAGCAUACAUCAAGAAGAUCCAAAGCCAAAGAGGCUCUUAGCUAAUACAGCAGCUUUACACCAGAGGUCACGGUCAGCGUCCCUGAGAUAUUCUGCUUCCUCCUCAUGAUUCUAAUAGGGCUGCAGCAGCUCCCGGCCCAUGGCUUCACAUGACAAUGUCCAAAGACAGGAAGAAGUGCUGGUGUUACAGGGAUAUGCUACCACAUCUGGCUUAAACCCCAAGCAUAAACAAAAUCAUUCUAUCUCACAUGCUGCACGGUGAACAUGGUUUCUACUCAAAGCAAGAAGGGGCCGGUGAGAUGCCUCUGUGCACACAGGUGCUCUCCUUCAAGCCAGACAACCUGAGCUCAACCCCACCUAAAUGUUAUAAG